GUUAGCGCCAAAAAAAUAAAAAUUGAUGAAUAAAAUUUUACACAUCGCGACUUCAUGAGGUUGUAAAUUAAUAUUUAUUAUUAAAAAAUUUUACCUCUAACUAUUUUAAACAUAUAUUAUUAUAAUUAAAAAGAAAAAAACGCAAAGAAGGUCAGCUCCCUCUCUCAAAUCCAACUCUCUCUCUCAAAUUAAAAUCAGACCUCUCUCUCAAAUUCACAUCCGUCAGCUCUUCCAGGAUAGAGCUCAAAAAUUGGUUGUUGCAUGGGGAUCUGGUGCGUUUACUAUUUUAGUGGUUGUUGCAUGGGGAGCUGGUGAGUACCGUAGAGUAUCAAGAUCAGUAGAUGCUUGAGAAAGUAUUUUUGACAUCCAGGAUCAGAUUAAAAUAAAGUUCAAGUUAAAAGCUGGGCACAUACUUGUUGGCUUUCUAUCAAAUACAAGAGGCCUAGGUGGAUUCUACCUUAAAAUUGGUAAAAGUUAGUUGACCAAGACCAAUUUGAGGUUCAAGCAGAUGAGUGAGAUUGGCAAGAAAGCUAGAGCUUUUAUUAAGGGUGGCUCUUUACAUACGAGUGGUGCUCAGAGUCAGGGGAAAAAAAAGAGACUUGGGAGGCCAAUAAUGUAGAGGCAUUCAAGGCUAUACACAAGGAAGAAGAAAAUCCUAGAGAUCCUGAUGUUUGGGUUGAGCCAUGAGCUCAGCUGACCUAUAAUCGGUAUCUACAAUUCAUAGCGAAUUUUUGCCGAACUCUGCCAGAAGAUAGUAAAAACCUACCACUUAGCCAAGAGCAGAAUGAGAGAAUAUGGUUAGAUGUGGUUGGUGGUCCAAGUAGGUAUGGAUAUUCUUAUGUCUUUCCCCAAAGAACCUUUCGUCAAUUUCAUUCGAAACUAGAAGGCCUCAGAAGUUUCUAGGAUGAUGAGUGAAGUAAAACAAAGCGAAGCUAAGGCCUCACAGGCAAGGUAAAGGCAAAGGGAUAUACAGUAUGCAGGAAUGAAGCCCCAAUUCUAUACAUCACUUACUUCGGUGGGAUUCCCCUUGUCCUGGAGAUGUAGUAAUCCCUCCUAGACCUACAAAGUCUCUACCUAUUUCACAUGAAAUAUAUGGUCAAUACAGAGAUGUCACAGAGGAGCCCAGCAGUGAUGGAAAUGAUAAGGAUUACUAUAUGGACAAUACA